UGGGGAAUAUUGCACAAUGGGCGCAAGCCUGAUGCAGCAACGCCGCGUGAGGGACGACGGCCUUCGGGUUGUAAACCUCUUUUGGCAGGGAAGAAGCGAAAGUGACGGUACCUGCAGAAAAAGCACCGGCUAACUACGUGCCAGCAGCCGCGGUGAUACGUAGGGUGCAAGCGUUGUCCGGAAUUAUUGGGCGUAAAGAGCUCGUAGGCGGUUUGUCGCGUCUGCUGUGAAAACCCGAGGCUCAACCUCGGGCCUGCAGUGGGUACGGGCAAACUAGAGUGCGGUAGGGGACAUUGGAAUUCCUGGUGUAGCGGUGGAAUGCGCAGAUAUCAGGAGGAACACCGAUGGCGAAGGCAGAUCUCUGGGCCGUAACUGACGCUGAGGAGCGAAAGCAUGGGGAGCGAACA
rnacentral:rRNA from 1 species